AGCUCCAAUAGCGUAUACUAAAGUUGUUGCAGUUAAAAAGCUCGUAGUUGGAUUUCUGUGCGCCGGUUGUUGGGCCUGCUCUAUGAGGAGGCUCCUUCACCGUCGUACAUCCUGUUGGCAGACCCGCGGAGGGCAUUUAGUUGUCGCCGUGGGGAGACCACUCGUUUACUUUGAGAAAAUUAAAGUGUUCAAAGCAGGCAAUCGCUUGAAUACAUUAGCAUGGAAUAAUAGUAUAGGACUUUGAUCUUAUUUGUUGGUUUUAAAGAUCAAAGUAAUGAUUGAUAGGGACAGUUGGGGGCAUCAGUAUUCUGAAGCGAGAGGUGAAAUUCUUGGACCUUCGGAAGACUAACAACUGCGAAAGCAUUUGCCAAGGAUGUUCUCU
rnacentral:rRNA from 1 species